rnacentral:piRNA from 1 species
UGCCAGAUGCAGAGGAGAUAUGAUGGAAUG